GCGCAGUGGGCGGCACAGGCUGCUUCCUCCAGGCUGCAGCUUGCUUGCGCGGGAACCGUCCACCCCUGGGCGUGAGUCGGGGCGUUGCCCUGAAGGGGAGAGUCCCUGGAAGAUGAGGGGUGGGGUCCGUGGUGGCUCCGACUGGUCUAGGCUGGAUUUUGCAGGCGCAGACCGCUGGUGAGGUGCGUCCUGGAGCUGGGGUGGGCCCUGUGGCCCCAGGCCCUGGGGUGCCCCUGCACCUGGGAGCUGGUUCUGGAGAGAUGCGGCCUUGCGGCGGCGCCACGAGGGCCCGAGGCGGCUGCAGAGCCUCGGGAAAGGGCACUGCAAACGAGUAGAUACUUGGAGAGCUUUCCUUUUGAAACAGGCUGAAGGUAUAAAGAGGUUAGGGCCUGGGGCAACUUUAUCCCGAGGUAUGCGUUUCCAGGAGGCACCUCAGCAUCGCCUUCUCUUUCAGGACCAAGUGGUGUGCUGGUGCCUGAGCUUCUGCAGCAGCUUCCAGAACCGACCUGCGAUGCAUCCGGCGGUGCCCUGUUGACGUGGGCUGUGGUGGAGAGCUGAGCUACUGGGAUGGGCCAACCCUCCAAGGGCUCCUUUCCUCCCAGCAAGGAUUGGCCUUUUUCUGCCGGUUCCCACUGUGCUCAUCAGCUGUGGUAUGGCCUGUGUCACAGCAUCCCCUCUGAUCUCCUGGUUUCUGGUCUUCCACAGUGCUGCCAGGGAGAAGAAUUUGUCGUAGGAGAGUCCAGAAUGAGAAAAACAAUGACAAUUUGAAAAGGAUACCUCCCUUACUUUAGAACAGUGCAUGAAAUUUCCUUUUAUGCUUUUCUCAGUGAUGAAAUCCCACCAGGGCAGCUGUUGCCUGGACCUCGCAGCUUGGACAGACUCCUGAAGCUGAGUGUGGGGCAAGAGGCCAGUGGCCAAAGGAAAAUAUCCAGGGCUCUCCACCUGGAGCAGGAGCCAGCCUACGUGUACGCUGAUGAAGAUUCCCUGAUAAGGCCCGGGAAGGAAGAUGGUGGGAAGAGCAGACAGGUGCAGCAGAAGCAAGAGACUUGGUCCGCUCAGGAGACUGAGUCAGUUGGCCAAACUGUGAGACCAGACUUAUGUCCAUUGUCAGGCACUAAGGGACUCACCUUUGUUUCUUUUUUCUCUUUUGUUUGGGUAAACUCCCUCCUGCCACCAAGCAGGUGACUCAGUGUCCCACACAACACAAGCCCAGUGAAUGCUGGCUAUCAUUGCUCUAUUUUCUCUGUUCUGUUGUCCAUGAUGGUAGCUAUUUUUCUCAGCUCUGGGUCAUUGGAGAUUGAAGAACUGUGUUGACCAGUAUGGCUAGGGAUCAAGCCCCACCUCCCCAAAUAGAGACUUCCCUUGAGCUUCCCUAACUCAAUACCAGCACCUUUUGUUUCUAAUCAGAAGGGACUCUAUUCUCUCAUAUUGCAAAGCUCACAUCUAUCCACUUAGUCCUGAGAAUAAGAUGAUGAUUUCGAGAGAGAAGGAAAGUGGGGGGAUGAGAAUGUGUGUGUGGUGAUGGUGGUAGAAAAUUGCAAAGUGGAGCAGGCAAGUAACCUAUAUGACAAGCGCAACUGUUUUAAACUUCUAAUAGUUCAUGAAGGCAGUCAGUGUGGGGAAACAUAGAUAUUUACGCAUCUUGUUAGAUACUUGGCCACACUAGUGUAUUACCUGUGUGGGUAGAAAUCAAAAGACUGAUACAAAGACACCCUCUUUAAACUCUUCAGCCUGGGGAUCCCUGAGUGGCUCAGCGGUUUAGUGCCUCCCUUUGGCCCAGGGUGUGAUCCUGGAGUUCAGGAUUGAGUCUCACGUUGGGCUUCCUGCAUGGAGCCUGCUUCUCCCUCUGCCUGUGUCUCUGCCUCUCUCUCUCUCUCUCUCUCUCUGUCUCCCAUGAAUAAAUAAAUAAAAUCUUAAAAAAAACCUCUUCA
rnacentral:lncRNA from 12 species